CCUACGGGAGGCAGCAGUGGGGAAUAUUGCGCAAUGGGCGAAAGCCUGACGCAGCGAUGCCGCGUGAGGGAUGAAGGUCUUCGGAUCGUAAACCUCUGUCAGCAGGGAAGAACGGUCACUGUGCUAAUCAGCAGUGAAUUGACGGUACCUGCAACGGAAGCACCCGCUAACUCCGUGCCAGCAGCCGCGGUAAUACGGAGGGUGCGAGCGUUAAUCGGAAUUACUGGGCGUAAAGCGCUCGUAGGCGGGAUGUCAAGUCAAGGGUGAAAUCCCCGCGUUCAACGUGGGAACUGCCUUUGAAACUGGCAAACUGGAGUGUGUGUGAGGAUAGUGGAAUGCGAGGUGUAGGAGUGAAAUCCGUAGAUAUCU
rnacentral:rRNA from 1 species